UCUUUUGAUUUUUAUUUAUUACAGAUGUUAUGUGGUUAAGGUUUAACAUUGGUUUAUAAGGUUAAGGGUAUAAAUUUUAGGAUUGGUUGGUGUAUGUUUUCGGGAUGUGAAGGAUUGGAAGGUUUAUGUUUGUGGGGUUUGGAGAUUGAUUGGUAGGAUUACAUUUGUAAGGUUAUAGUUUAACUGAAUUUUUAUCCAAACUUUAAAUAUCCUCCCUCCCCCUCCAACAUCCUCCACUUUCCUUUCCCCAAUCCCGGAAACAUGUUUAUUAUUUGUUGACAUAAACAUCCCAUAUUUGUUUUGUUUUUUUUUGUGCCUCUGAACUUAUAAACGGUAAACUGCAAUAGUCACGAUGACAAUUUAACAAGAUAAUGAUGCAACUUCGGUAACACGACACCAGCAUCAAGGAACGGCCAAUUGAACUUGAUGUAGAAAGAUCUUUCACCAGCAUAGGCUGCAACAACGUGCCACAUCGGACAGCAACUACGCGAACAUAAACGC